rnacentral:tRNA from 2 species
GGGCGAUUAGCUCAGUCGGUAGAGCAGCUGAUUCUUAAUCAGCGGGUCACAGGUUCGAGUCCUGUAUCGCCCA